UGAGGAUGGGGAGGAUGAGGAGGCUAUCCCCGCGCGCGGUGGGCAAGGCUGGCAUCCCCGCGCCGCCGCGGGGCUGCCGCUGGGCGGCACGAGGCGCUGCGCCGCAAGCCCGGCCGCCGUCGGGCGAGCCCGGUGCCCCGGGCGAGGCGAGGCGCGGCGGUGACACUCGCCCGUAGGUGGCGGGGCGGCGGCGACCCCCGGCAGGCGUAGUUGGUCCUGUUAGCGAGGCUGCGGUGCGCAGCCCCCCCUGUGCCGCCGACCCGGGCAGCCCGCGCCGGGCAGUCGCGACCGAGCGGUGAGUCGUAAUUGGCUUCUGUGGCUUAGGCGAGAGCAGACUGUAUCGCGUGUUCAGGUAGACGACACUUUCAACAGAAUAUUCAGACAGAAGAUGUCUUUUCAGCAGCGAAGUAAUUUCUCUUCACAGUUUUUAAGUGAGAAAUGAAUCAAAGCAAGAGGUUGCUGUCUCUACAGUGACGUUGCAUUCAAACCCCUGGCUACCAAAUCAAGCUUGCUGGUAUGGUACUGAAUCUUGCCUCUUGACAAGGAGGAUAACCAGAACUUACUGGAACAGUUUGCACUGUUUUACUUCUGUUUGCAUCAUGCCUCACUUACGUCAUUUGCUCUCACAAGCUUUGAAUUCAGAAAAAAAAAUAAUUUUAAAUUCCAUUUCAAUGCAUCAUGAAUCACUUUCACUGAAGAAAUGACAGCUUAGAAUCACAUGAAAUUGCUUCCAAGAAGGAGCAAGAUACCUUGCCAGGUCAGUGUCACACAUGAUGGGGCUGUGCUCUCCUGGAGAUGGCUGAACACCUGCUUGCCCAUGGAAGGUGGAAAAACAGUCUGCUUGACUAAUGAAAAGAGAGAGUGGGUCCAAUUCCAGUACAUUCUUCUCAAAUAAACCUGAAGUUGAAACAUUUGGAAACUCCCUGCAUCAUGAGGCAACCUAAAAUGCUUUCCAAGGCUAUCUGAUUUGAUCACAAGAUGCAAAGAAGGGGAAUAGCGUGACAGACCUACAUGCUGUUCACUGAUCUUCGACGCAAAGAUGAACACUUUGCAUGUGACCAGCUAACUUUGGAGCCACAGCCCCAGUUCAGAGAGCACAGGGAACAUGGCGUUAAUCACCUGCUAAUUUGACUGGGCUGGUUUGCAUCUAUUUUUGGUCUGCUUUGAGUGCCAGUCACCAUUGUCUAAACUUACUAUCAGAGUUAUUGAUGUUGUUCCCAGUCUCCUCCUAGGCUGCCUCUGUUGGUCUCAGCCAGGACUCAGUCUGCCAGGAGGGGUGGGAGACAUUCAGGCCUCUCAGCUGUGGCAGGCACCUGCCCCACAGUGCCUGCAGGACCCGGAUGAGGCAGGCAGGCAUCCAGUGCUGGCUCCUGUGUUUGCUGCAAGAGCUCUUGUGUGGCAAGAUUUUGGUAAUGAGGGAGCCACAGGGAUGGCUUCUGUGAGAAACUGCCAGAAGAUUCCCCCAUGGGCAACAAAGCCAAUUCCAACCAGCUCCAGGAUGGACCUGCUGCUGGCCAAGGCUGAGCCCAUCAGCAAUGGUGGUACUGCUUCUGGAAUAACACAUUUAAGAAAGGGGGGAACUUCUGGAACAGCAGCCAGAGAGACCAGUGAGAAUAUGUGAAAGGAGAGACAGCUCUGCAGACACCAAGGUUGGUGCAGAAGGAGGGGCAGGAGGUGUUGCAGUUGCCAGAGCAGAGAUUCCCUUGCAGGCCCCAGUCAGGCCAUGGUGACCCUCCAGUCCAUGGAGGUCCAUGGAGGAACAGAGAUCCAACUGCAGCCUGUGGAGGACCCCACACUGGAGCAGGUGGAGGCCUGAAGGGGGCUGUGACCCUGUGGGAAACCUGUGCUGGAGCAGGGUCCUGGCAGGAGCUGUGGCCCCAUGGAGACAGGAGCCUGCUCUGAGCAGGUUUGCCAGCAGGACUGGUGACCCCAUGGAGGAGCCACUCUGGAGCAGUGUGCUCCUGAAGAACUGCACCCUGAGAGAGGGACCAUGCUGGAGCAGAACAGCUGAAACCUUGGGAAGGACUUACCUUUGGAAAGUUUGUGGAGAAUGUCUCCUGUUGGAGGGACCCCCGCACCAGAGCAGACAAAGAGUGUGAGGAGUCCUCCCCCUGAACAGGAAAGAACAGCAGAGACAAUGUGUGAUGGGUUGACCACAGCCCUGAGUCCUCAUUCCCCUGCUCCACUGUGGAGAAGGAGAUAGACAAAAUCUGGACUGAGGAUAAACCUGGGAAGAAGAGAGAAGUGGACAGUUUAAUUUUUGUUUCUUGUUACCCUACUUGGAUUUGAUUGGUAAUAGAUUAAACUAAUUCCCCCAAGCUGAGUCUCUUUUGCCUAUGAUGGUAAUGGUGAAAGCUCUCUCCCUGUCCUUUUCUCAAUCCAGGCACCUUUCAUUAUGUUUUCUCUCCUCUUUCCAGCUGAGGAGGAAAAGGAUAGAGCAACUUUGGUGGGCACCUGGCAUCCAGCUGGAAUUGACCCACAACACACCAUUGACACAAAAACCACUUUCAAGGCAGACUUCCUCCACUGUUAGCAGCCACUAAACCAAGGCAGACCUUCCACUUCUGGAUAUACAACUGGCUGCAUAAACCUCUCACAGAGAGCCAGUGUGCUCAUUCCAGCCAGCUGAGCUGCCUAAACACCUCCCAUUGAAAGGGGCUGGUUUCCAGCUUGCUGUUUUCAGAGGAGCAUCUUGGCUAUUGCAUGUACUAGGAAGCCUACCUGUCCCAGGGUGUAUUGCCCUGCUGAAAAUGCAGAGCUGUUCUAACAGGAGCUAUGGAUAGGUGGGAGUAGGUGGUGGCACAGCCAGAUGUGCUGGUACAGUGCAUGAGAGUGUACAGGCUGCAGGGCCUGGCUAUGACCCCAGGCAGAAGGGAUUUUAUUAGAGGACAAAAACAGUACCUGUUUUCUUGUACAGUGCAAAAAUAGCAACCAGCAGUGGUGCUAGCUAUCUCGUUCUUCCACAUUAUUAACACUCUUAAUUUUUUUUCCUGAUAACAGGAGAUUGUACAAAUGUAAAGUUUGAAUAGAUUGUCUCACUAAGACUGAAGUUAGGAACCAAGUUUCAAACCACCCUAUUCAAGUCCUACUUUACAAUGAUCUAGUCCUCUUUCUAGAAAGGGAAUACACCAUGCAGUACUUAAACUGUCUUUAAAAAGAUAAUACCUCCUGAAUUAACAUUAAGGAAGAAGAUUUAUCCAGCUUUGGUCAGUUUUAGUUGUUUUUUUUUUUUUCCAAGUUCACCUUUGGUAUCAUCCAAAUUCUUCUGUUUGCCUUCACUAUUUUAGGGAUCUAAAAUUGUUACUUCUAGAGCAAGAAAGACCCAACAAAAUCAGUGAGAAAAAUAAUGAUUAAAAUGUGUUGUAUCCUUGACACCUAGAAUUGAUAUUCUCCAAAAACACAUGAUCCCCUUUGCUCUUAAAAACCCUUAUAAAUUUUCUUGAUGUUUUAAACUUUGAUUCCUUUAUUGACUUAAUUCCACUGUAUUUUAUUCAAGGAUAGAAGGCCUGAACAAUUGCAUAGAAUGGUUUUGAUGACAUCUUUGUGUAAAAACAUUGUUUUUAUUUUUUCUGAAGGAAAAAGAAAAAAACUUAGAGGCUUUCUGUGCUCCAAUAGGCAUGUUAUUCAUUUGUUUAUAAAACUUUCCUCUCACAAUAUAUGAAAAUAUGUUUGUGCUUCACUUCCCUAUAGAAAGUAUUCUUUAAUUCCAUCCAGUAGGUAUAAAUUGCAGUGCUAUCUGAACAGGAAAAUAUUCAAAAUCUCAAUUUUGGAUUAGCUAGAAAAGCAAAGAUUGUUCCAGGGAAAUAUUUAACAGUUUAAAAACAGAUUUUGAAGCAUCAGAUUUUCUUACAAAAGUUGAUAAUCAUAUGUAGGUGAAAUCAAUAUGCUAGGCUGGAGCCUCACAUCAUAUUGCUAUUGUCAUCAUCUAUUUGUAUUACCUGAGAGCCCUGGAGUCUCCAUUCAAGGUUAAUCAGUGUAUAAAAACCAGAUGUUCCCUGCCUCAAAGGAUGGAUACAGACAGGAUGCUACAAAGAAGCAAGAGAAUAGUGUUCAGCAGGAGAUACAAUGGUAUCAUCACAGCACCACCAGAUGGAUAUGAUAUCAGUAAAAGAACUUGGAGGUGGACAGUAAAUUAGAAAUAGUUCUGCGGAAGAUUCACCAUAGUCAAAGGGGAAACACAUGGACUAAGCCAGAAGUUUGAAAGCAUUGUGCGCAGAAGUUGUGUCAAAUGUACAGGAACAGCAGAGUUCAGGAAGAAGUCAGAACAAAGGUACUCUCCAAAGUUUAUGAAGCUUUUUGGUGAUCCAAUAUAAAUUUAGAAUGGAGUUCAGCGCUUCUUGUUUCACUCAAACAGUACCAAUUCUGUUCAUCAUCAAUACUCAGAAGAGAUCACAGAGUCACAGAAUGGUUCAGGUUUCAAAGGACCUGUGGAGGCCAUCUGGUCCAGCACCCUCAAGCAGGGACACCAAGAACCCUUUGUCCAAGAACAUAUCCAGAUAAUUUUUGAAUACCUCCAAUGAUGAAUACCUCCACAACACCUCUGGGCAAUCUGUGCCAGUACUUGGCCACUCUCAUAAGGAAACUCCUGUAUUUCACUUUGUGUCCAUUGACAGGACCUUUGUUCUGGUCCUGUCCCUUGCCACCACUGAAAAGAGCCUGGCUUCUUCUUCUGCAUACCUUUCCUUCAGGUAUUUACACACAUUGAGAAAAUCCUUAUGAGUUUUCUCUUCUCCAUCCUGUAUGGUUCACACUCUCAGCCUUUCCUGAUAUGAGAGAUGCUCCAGUUUGAGUCUAUUAAUCUUCCUAGUGGUGAUGCAGUUGACUCCUCGCACUGUGUCCAAGUCUCACUUGUAUUGGGGAGCUCAGCAAUGAGCAUAGAACUCCAAGUGCAGCUUCCCCAGUGUUGAGCAGAACAAAAGGAUAAUCUCCCUUGACCCACUGGUAACACUUCUAACACAACCCAGGGCACCACAAGUUGCUAUAACAAUGAGGGCACAUUGCUGUCUCAUGUUCAAUGUUUGACAGUAGGGAAAAAAAAAGGGGCUUGAGAUGUUUACUUUUAAACUUGGAGGUUUUUUUAGGAAAAAAAUAUUUCUUAAUGAGUAUUUGAGGGGAAGAUAUUAAAUCUAUACCAGACCAAGAGGAAUCCAAGGUCCUUAGAUAUGGGAUUUUAAACCAGUCUUUUAAAGGGCCAAUUGAUAGCAAGCUGCCACUCCAUAAUAGUGGCAAUAAUCAAGAGUUAGAAAAAAGCCAAAGUAAAGAAAAGUAAUAGAAUCACAGAACAUGCUGAGUUGGAAGGCAUCCGCAAAAAUCAUGAAGUCCAAAUCCUGACCCUGCACAGGACACCCCAGGAGUCACACCAUGUCCCUAAAAAUACUUAUCCAAAUGCUUCUUGAACUCAGACAGACUUGGUGCUGUGGCCACUUUGUACAGUUGCAAGUGCUCAAACACCGUCUUGGUGAAAAGCCUUUUCUUUUUAUUCAACCUAAACCUCCGCUGAAACAACUUCAGGCCAUUUCAUUGAGUCCUAUCACUGGUCAUGAGAGUGAAGAGGUCACCACCUGCCUUUCCACUUCCCUUGUGAGUAUAUUGAAAUGUGCAGCGAGGUAUCCCUUCAUUCUCCUGCUGAACAAAUCAAGUGUCCUCAGCCACUCCUCACACACCUUUACCUCAAAGCCCUUCACCAUCCUUCUUGUCCUCCUUUGGGCACUCUCUAAUAAUUUAACAUCUUAUAUUGGUGGCAACUAAAACUUCACACAAUAUUCAAGGUGAGGCUGCCCCAGUGCAGAGCAGGACCAUCCCCUCCCUUGCCCAGCUGGUGAUGCUGUGCCUGGUGCACUCCAGUACAGGGCUGGUUCUCCUGGCUGCCAGGGCACUGCUGACUCAUGUUCGACUUGCCAUUGACCAGGACGUCCUGGUCCCUUUCCAUAAUGCUACUCUGGCCUCUCAUUCCCACCUCUAUGCACACAACCAGGGUUGCCUCACCUCAAGUGCAGAAUAUGGCACUUCUCCAUGUUAAACUUCAUACGAUUGGUGAUUGCUCAUCUCUCUGAUUUGUCAACGUCUCUCUGUAUGGCCUUUCUGCCCUCAAUGAAAAUUGACAGCUCCUCCCAAUUUAGUGUCAUUGGCAAAGUUACUUAAUAUUAUUUUAAAUAUUAAGUUACAUUAAGGGAAAAAGCAAAAUUCUCCUUUUGAGAUCAUCCAUGCUGUUUUUAUUCUCAACUAUACCAAGCAUUUAUCCUCGCAUUAAUCUCAAGUGAAAGGAACAUAGACAGUGUGUUAAAAGGUGAAGUUGAUUAUUCCUGAUACUGAAAAAUGUUUUCAAGACAUUUUUGAAAUAGUAAGUGCCUUUCACACCUCACUGACCACAGUUUUUGCAAGUAAAACUAGUAGCUUUUAGGUCAUAUGAAUUAAUAUAUGGUGGUAACUUUUACAACUUCUUAUACUUUGCCAUAUUUAUCUCUCCAAAAUAUUUCAAAAUCUAACUCAUUCAGUUGUAAAUGUUGAUCUCUGUUUAGUCAGGAUGAUUAAGUGAUGGUCAUUGUAGCAUGACUCAUUGCUUCUGAAUAGGAACAUUUUCACAAUAUUAUCUUUGUUAUGAAGUGCAGUUAUGAUUCACAUCAUUCCAAGCCUUCUUCAAGUGAGGAUAGUUAUGAUUACAUUUGGAAUAGUUCAUGCUACUUGGCGAUUUACUGGUAGUGAGCUCAGUACUUACGCUGUUACUUUCUAAAGGAGGAAAAUAAAAGAAAGGUUGACUGCAUUCCUUAGAGAUUGGUGCUGCCGAAACCAUAUGUUUUCAUUAGAUGUAAAUGAACCUCCUUAGAGGAAAAUUCUUCAAAAAUUGUCUCUUAGAAUCCUUUCACAAAGAACAGGAGGUGCUGACUCAUUUGGUCUCGUAAAAGGUUCUGACAAAGACAUAGGUUAAAGUCAUAGGCAGAACUUCACUCUUCAAUGGAGCUUUGAUUUUACGUAUGUCACUAGCUCUGAAGGAAGAUUGGAAUAAAAGAGUUACUAUCAAACUUGUCCCUGUUAAGCUGAAUUAUCUGAGCUUGUGUUUGAAAUAGAACAGCUGAGCCCAGCUUGUGUACUAAUAUUGGUAUCUGGGAUUGUGUUCUUGCAUCUGUGUGUGACCUAACCUAGCUUUUUGUUAUGUUGACCUUGUACACUGUUCAGUGUUUCAGAGGUAGCUCAAUAUCCAAUACCCUAUUUCCAUCCCCUCAAAAUGGUGUUCUAAUAGUAAAGAGAAGUAAAAUCUUCUUAAUGAUUUUUUGAAUCAUAGAACCAGCAGCAUAAACUGAAGUAUGUUUUAGACAACCCUAAAUAGAUUUAUUUUGAUUAGUCUAUUAAAGUAAAUAAAUGUAAAUAUGCAAUCAAUUUUAGAGCAUAUUGAUCUGCACUUUUUUUUUCUGCAAAGUAAGAAUGUGAGUCUUGAAACAUUCCAGGUGUGCUUGAAAAGGAAAGGUUUUGACCUUACCAAAAAGCAACAUUUCAUCUUUUUCUUCCUCAAAAUAAACAGACACAUUGACAGACAUCAAGGGAACUGCUGAAUUUUAAAGAUGUCAUAUUCUCUGAGAGAAAAGUAACAUUCUUAACUGGAAUUUUUUGAUCACUACUCCUUUUAAUGUGCACUUUUUAAUGUCGGAGAGAUGCCUCUGCUUGCCUUAUAUAGGGCAUGCCUAAUAUACACGUUAGCUCUGCAUUAGUUCUGCCUUCUACAUAAUGAGUCAAUUCAAGAAGGAGAUGCAUUUGUCAUUUAUAUGUACCAGAAGGUGUGAGCAUGGACUGAACUGUCUUUUUUUUCACAGAAUCAUGUUCAUCUUCUCUUCAGUCCACUUCCAAGUCACUUAGGCUGUAAAUUAAUUUUUGCAAAUUUCAUACUGGGCUCAUCUUACUUAACCUCACCCAGUAAUAGGGAGCUACUUAAUCAGUUUAGCUGCCUCGGACUUCUACGGGAAUGAAAAGACUAUAUUUCUUCAGUUAUUUCCAUUAAUAAAUUAAAAAAAUAAAUAAAUCAAAAUUAACAUCACACUGUUGAACACACAGAAAGGGACCUAGUCAUAAUGUUGAGGCAAUUAAGAAAUUCUUUUGCAAUGCAGUUUGACAGCAGAAAGUCCACAGCUUUUUUAAUAGCAUUCAAUCUACAGAAGGUAUUUCAUCUACGUAGGGCAAUAAAUACAACUAUACCUGCAGCAGUUCAGGACAUCUCAUUACACAAGAGACAGUGACAGAUUGAAAGAAAUUCACGGUAGCAAAACAAAAAUGAUAAUUCACUUGCAAAACAGACUUAUAGAAAUAUUAGAAGGGCUAAAUACAUACCAGUUAAGCCAAAGAGGAAGUGAAUGGAGACAGAAUUCUGCUAUUUAAAUAAUGCAGAGACAGGAGAUGGGCAUAUGACAUAUUUGUUUGCCUGGUCUUAGCCUUGACAUAGCCACACUGAGUUUAGAGCCACAAAUGAAAUAUUUAGGACAACUCCAGGAAAAGUCCUCAGCUGUGUCACUCAAAGUACUGGGUUUUGCCGAACUGGGUAUACCACAUCAAGGUGCAGAGCUACAAGGAAAUGGACUCCAACAUAACCAACUAACCCCCUCCAAAUUUCAAAAACCCCACCACAAUUCAGAAGCAAAACAAAGAACUGCCAGAGUAAACCUACUUAGCUGCACAAUGGGGGCAAUUUCUUGCUCACACAAAUUAAUUUCUAUCACCUAAAGUUUUGAUCUAGUUAUUUUCUUAAAACACUGCUGCCAGCAUGGUGAGGUACAGUAGUGAUCUUUUCUUCUAUUGAUCAAAUAAAGCUUCCUUCUCAGGAGGCACUGACAAUAAAAUAGCAAAUAAGUUUUAUUUUCUGGAAAGCCUUCAAACUCUCAUGUACAGAGUAAAAAACCCACAUUGUUGGGACAUAUACAAUAACAGAGCCAACAUCACUGCAUCCUGAAAGUUUAUCCCUUCAAGUUCCAAAACUUUAUUCCUUCCAGUCCAAAUGCUAGCUGCACUGAAAAAUUUGUCUGAGUACAGAGAUGUUGGGAAAAGUUUUGUAAGAGGAAGAUACUAAAGCUACACAUUAUUCCUUAUACACAAUUUAUCUAGGAGUCUUUCUGGAUCCUGAAAAAUUCUGAAUCUUCACAAGGUUCAUCUCCAGAGUUCUGAAAAAAUCUAAUUUUAAAAACUUUAUCGUAUAGAAAGUGUUUGCUGAAGUAUAAUCAGUACAACAUCAAUAAGGACACUUUUUUCUAAAAAUGUUUUAAAAUAUUUUCUAGUAACAGCUGUUACUUGAAAAGAAUUCUCUUGUCAUGGGGAUGUGAUUAAUUCCUUCUAUUUUGUCUCUCAGGGAAGAAUUCAUAAUGUCCUAUUUCUUUUCAGGGAGUCAGAAAGAAAAAGAGCUAAAUCCUUCCGAUCUUAUUGCAGUCAUGGGACCAGAUGCACUAGAAGGAAAGCAAUAAUCUGAUCCAUAGUUGUGCUGAUUUCUUUUUCUGCAAGUGCUCUCUUAUUUGUAGGAUAUACCAAAGGUAAUCAAUAAACAUGACAGUGAUCCUAUAUUAGCUUUGUAUAUUAGCUUACUAGGUGAAGCAUAAAUACUAAUAAUAAUUAAAACAAUGCCCUAUUCCAAUCAGCAGUUUGUAGUGAUGGUGGCACUUAUUCAAAGUGUACAGAAAUGUGACUCAGUUCUUGCUGAGAAGUUCUGCCAUGGUUAUUAAUGGUUGUUUUAACAAAACAGGAAAUUUAGCUUAAAGCAAACAUAUAAAUUAAAGCCCAGAUAUUUAAGGAAGAUGUCAUAAUGAUAAGAGAACUGCACUUAAAGGCAGGCAGAUGGGAGAUACUCAAGGGGCCUGCUCAGCAGGACAGUGUACAAGUGAGUCCUGCUUGCACAGACUGGACAUCUGUGUCUGGCAGCUCAGCUCUGUCUUUCCAGAAAGGAGGCCCUAAGCUAACGAAAACUGCUGCCAACAGCAGCCUACACAAACCCAUUUGACUGCCAAGCUGCAACAACAUCAGGCUGUGAAGUUGUUUUUCCCUGUUGUUGCCAGACUUAUGAAGGGACUAUCACUUUAAUGCCUUUUUUAAUUUUAAUUUUUUUUCUAACCACAAAUUAGCAAAUAUCUAUUUUCUUUUAAUUUACUGUGACAAGACCUAUGGCACCAGUGCCAACAACACAUAGAGCUCUACAUCUGCAUUUUUAUUUUACAGAGGAAUAAAACACAAAUAAAAAUAAUAAUCAGUGAAUACAUAUUUUCCUCUUACAAGCGAGAUUGGCAGUGGUCUUGUUUUCUAUGACAAGCCUUCAUAAACAGCCAGGAGAGACAGCUGUGCUCAGAACUGUGCACCUGUAGCAUAAGUCCUCUCCCUCUUCCAGCUGAUUAGGGGUAAGAAGAUUUAAACAAGGAAAAAAAAUAUUGGCAAUGUUUUUUAAUUCCAUAGAAAAAUAAUAGAAACAUUAAACAUGCUGAGCACUGUCUCAAAGCUUAUUAGAAAGAAUUAUCAGCUUGAAAGCAAUUUAGAGGUACACACAUUGUAUACUACUCUCACUGUCAACAAGCAAUCAUACUGCCUCAAGUUGAGAAAUCACAGAAGUGAAGAACAUCAGUAGGGAAGUGAAGCCAGCUAGAGCCAGGAUGAGAAAGGAGGAGAGUUAAAGUCAAUUAUUAACUUAACUGAACUGACUCUGAAAAUUCAACACCUGCCUUCAGCUCUAAGAUGUUUUAAUGCAAAUGCCAUAGGUUGCUAGCCUACAUUAUUUUAGGAUACGACUGCCAGUACGGAUCCUGUUACUGAGGACCCUAAAUGUUUAUAGUAUCCAAAGAGGCCCAAAUAUGCCUUUGGAGACCUAACUUUAUAAUGGUCAUUAUCACUAUUAGGUCACUGAGGCGAGAUGUGUGUUAAUUUUUCCCCAGAAGUUCUAUUUUGGUGUUAUUUUUAAAGAAGUGUGUAUUAAAAACUGUUGCUCCCCUUUAUUGGGUCCCAGUAGAACUACUUGUAGUCUUAACUUUCUUGGGGAGUAGGUAGCCAAUUUAAAAAGAAAUCUCUCUUGCUUCAAUUAAUUGCCCCUAUGCUACAGAGUUUUCUUUAUGCCUCCUAAGAACUCACAUAAUACUUUCAGUUGCUGGACUGCACCAUCUUGCCUUUUUUCAAGACUGCCUUUAAUCUGGGCUUUCUGCAGGCUGAGUAUCAGACAAGGCUUUUCUGCAUUUGCCACGUGAUACUUGUGUAUGUCCCUAAGUCAGCUGUGAGCCGGCCACAAGCAUGCAAAGGCCAGGAGACUGUGCUACUGAGGAGCUGCCACCAGACUCACACAGCCCACCCAGCUGCGCUGCUCUUGCUCUUUUCCACCGGCCCCAGAUGACAAGCCCUCACUGUCAGCCCAUUACCUGACUGUGCAGCUUCUCAGACGUGUGGUUCCAAUGACUGUUAAAGACUCCACAAAAUUGUAGCCAGAAUGCAACAUGUUAGCUUUGAUGCAGCAGAAAUUCAUGAUGCUCAGGUAAUGCAAAUUGGCACUAAUAGGCGCAGUGGUACCCUCCAUCUCUGUGUUUAAUGAGGGGUGAAUAAAUGUUUCUAGGUACAUAAUAGAAUUUUUAACUGUCACUUCCUGUCACUGGAGCUUUUCUGAGCAGCAAUGCUGGAAAAUCUUUACGGUGGAAUCACACCUCCAUGAGUUACUUUUGGCUGUGGCCACUGCCGAGCUGUGCACCAUCUGUCAUGAAGGCAGCAGAGAGGAGCAUUGGAAUAGCAGCCCAGAUUCAUGUGGGAAACACUGGCAUUGGCUACGUGACAAAGCAACUGGGAGCUUCACGAGGCAGGUGACAGCUUCCUAUUGUAACCUCCUGAGAAAUGACAGCAGAGCCAUUGCACAAAACAGAUCUGGGCUCUCAACUAGUUGAAACAGCAGCACAAUGAAAAAAGUUGUGGCAGGCAAUUCUCUGCACUUGUUCAUACAAGUACCCCUAAUCUGUCCAUGCAAGCAAGAGCAGACCGUAUGCCUUGAAGUGCGUAUUCUCCCCAGACUCUUAUACCCUGCCAUUAACAAACCUUACAAAUGCGGGUAAAAAAGUAUUUUGGCACAGAGCGCAUGUUUGUGAAUGACAGUAACAGUCCUGAAUGCUCUUAUUAUUAAUGGAAUAUGGGAGAAAUCAGGUGUGCAUAAAAAAGAUACACAUGAAGGAUUUGUGGUAGCUUUAAGCUCUAUCUACUCAGAAAUCAAAGAAAAUAAACUGUGAAUUUACAGCUAAUGUCUCCAUUUAGUAUAGUUUAGAAAGCUGAAAUUUAAUCUCAUGUCCUGUGUUGUAUGUAUGUCAGACUUCAUUAUUUAUGCAAUAAGAAAUUAGCAGCAGUUACUUAGUGCCCAGCAGGAUAUUUGGCAGCUGUUUGAAUCAGGAGCUGAUCAUCAAGUUUAGAGAGUUGACUAGAAAAGAGAGAAGACUAGAAAAAUCCUAUAGGGCUACAAUGCAAGCAAAAAGGCUUAGUUCAGAGCCUUGUGAAAUCAGAGAGAAACUUUCAAUUAAUUUCAUAGUGAGUUGCGUAGACCUUUAGUAAAGAUUCAUAUGAUCUGAGUAGGAACUAACAAGGAGAGUGAAAUGGCUAUGAAGUGUACAGGACUAGACAAAAGUCUUCUUUCAACAAAGAAAGAAAUCAGCUGGAGAGACUCUGGAGUUCUGUAGGAGUUGGAGGAACAGCUGGAUUCCUCCCAAGAUUCACCAGAGGAUGGUAGCUUUACACAUAGGAUUGAUUUUAUAAAGCUUCUUUUAGUGAAAGAUAAAAAAUGUACUGGCCAGUCAUAGAUCAUUGUCUAGGUUUUAUCUGUAGUCAGGAGCAGCCAUAAGGCAAUUCAGUCCCUCUAUUUUCCACUAAGAAUAAAAGAAGACAAGAUGGCUGUCUUAUGCUGCAAAUCCUAAAAGACUAGGUUUAUGUACAAAGAGUGUAGCUAUCAGUUGUUAUUAAGCAGUGGCACUUGAAAGACUGUUUUGAAGAACUCAAAAGAUAAUCCAGGAUCUACUUCUUGGAACCUGUUGAGCAUUGUCUUUUUACAGAUUGAGUUGUGAUUUUAUAAUUGUAUCUCUUUUAGAGAACGGUUUACUUAAAAGAACAAAAUUACAUUCAAUUGCACUUUUAUUAGAUAAAAGGAAAGCCAUUUUCUGCAAAAGUGGCUAUUUAGAAAACACUGACAUUCUAAUUGUCUUUGUUUAUCCUGCUGGACAGAGCUUGACCAGGUGGAAGCUUCCUAAUGAAAAUAGCAAUAAUGAGAGUUGUUGAACAUUUCAAUCUAGACAGUCCUCAUAACUUGUCUUCAUUGCUCUGAGAAGGUGUGGUAGGAAAAAAAAAUCCCCUGUAAAUGUAAAGCAAGGCCUUAGGCUGGGCAUUUGGAGAGAGGGUGGUGGAAAUUACCGGUAAGAAGUGGUAAGAAAGCCAAGAGAUUUCUUAGGGAAGUGUCAGAAUUGGACUUUUUAUGGAAAUCACGUUAUUGGCAACUGAUCUGAACUUUGGACAGAUGGAUGGUUCUGUAAGGAUCAGACUCUUCCAUCAGAAAGGAGCAGUUUGAACUCAGGAUAGUGACCUGACAUAGAGACAUACAGUCUUGAUUUAUUUUCCCACUCUUGGCCAAAUGCAUAUUAGACAACUGAGUACAAAGAUAAAACAUUAUGAUGUAUUACACAGAGCACUUCCAUCAUAUCUAGGCUUAAGCUGUGAGAAGUCGUGGAUAAACUAAGAUUUACCUUGACGAUGCAGUUUGAGAGUUCUCUACCAUGCUGGGCAGAUGGUUACCUUGCAAGCCUCUGCUCAAUCAGCUCCAGAUAUCAACUGUAUCUCAACACUUUUUUAAUAGUCACAAAUGGUUUUUAAUGUCACAGACCCAGACAAAUAAAUGGGUUUGAUAUUCUCCCACUUAGACAAGAUGACAACAAUGAAAAACCACUCAUCUUGGCCAAAAGUUAUUUAAUCAGAAAUGGUAUAUGCAUUGACAGAUAUUUGAUACUUCUUCCAGAUGAUCUUCUAAGUAUCUUCUUGCAUUUAUCAUCUUGAACAUGCAGGAUGCAGUUGCAACACCUUGCUGUUAAAAGGACCAAUAACAGACAUCAUUGCAAAGAGAAAAAAAUAACCAUGUCAUGUUUAAAGACCUUUACUAAUUUACAUGAAUUGGCAAGAAAAUUGAAAAUAUUAUUUAAAUGUAAAAAUGAAACAGUGGUGUAGUGGCUAAUAGCUAAAUAAUGUUUUAAAAAAAAUGUAUGAAGUAGAAUGCCUCGUAAGGCUAAAUGGCUAAAUUUAAGCUACUAAGUGGUUAAAAUACUAAUAUUAAGCAAAAAAGCCUGCUGUAAUGAAGGAGGGCAAGGGUUAUGAUUUAAAAAGAAUCUCAUAAAAUAGAAGCUGUUUCCACAUGAUAUGAUGGUAUAAGGCUCUGUGAGAUAUAAGGUUGUGAUAUAUAUCACUCCUUGAGGAGUGAUUCCACUUAAUCCUACUUUAUGCCAUUUUAUUUAUAUAUUUUCUUGCUUCACCUGCUUGUAGCAAACAUUAAUACUGAUAAAAAACUGUAUUUGCGAUGCAGUGCAUCAUGAUCAGAAAAAAGAACACUUUUAAAAAAGUUCUGUGAUUGAAAUGGCUUCUAGCAGAUAGAACACUUACAUUUUUUCCAACAUGAACUGGAGCAUAUACUACACUUCUAAAAUUCAAAGGUGCUGCAGUAUCUCUUCCUUACGCCUCUGUUUAAAGAUAUAGUCACUGGAAUGAUAAGGCUCAUUUAAGCAUAACAUCCUUGAGGAGAAGUAAAAAUACUACAUAAAAAAACAACAUCCGAAUUCUGAGGACAAAAAUUGACAUAAAGAAAGAAAAUUUAAAAAUCAACAUUCAUUUUACCUGUGGGUUUAUCUUGUAAAGAAAGUCACCUCUUUUUUUUACCAACAUAAUAAAUCUUAAUGCAAAUACUUUAGUGUGACCAUCAGAAAACUGAGAGUGAAUGUAUCUCCUACACUGAAAAAUGAAGAGCUAACUGGACCAAACUAUUGUGGAAGUGAACAGCUGCCAGUUUUGGAGCAUUGUGCCUACCUGUCCUAUCUCACCCUUCCUGUACUCAAAGAUCUUCAGUCUGUUUAUUCUAGACAGCUGAGAGCAAAACUCAAACUUGACUCCUACAAAGUGUUUCAGGCAGCUGAACAUGGCUUGCUGAUAUCACAAAGGAAUAGAACAAUGAGGUUUUUCAGGCCUCUCUUGAAACAAGUAAUUUAUUUUUCUGUUUUAAACUGAAGUUUAAUCAAAUCAAACCAUUCAAAGUUUGGUUUCACCAAACUUUCACUGGUUUCACCAGUUCAAAAAUUUGACUUAAAGAUGGGUGGUUUCCCUGUUUUGGUUUGAAAAGACAGAGGUCUGCUAAGGAAGGCAGGAGUCUCUCUUGAAAUGGAAAAUGUAAACUCCCUCUUUCUGAAUUA